rnacentral:rRNA from 1 species
AGUGAAGCGGCAACAGCUCAAAUUUGAAAUCUGGCCCUCGGGUCCGAGUUGUAAUUUGUAGAGGAUGCUUUUGGUGCGGUGCCUUCCGAGUUCCCUGGAACGGGACGCCAUAGAGGGUGAGAGCCCCGUCUGGUUGGACACCAAGCCUCUGUAAAGCUCCUUCGACGAGUCGAGUAGUUUGGGAAUGCUGCUCUAAAUGGGAGGUAUAUGUCUUCUAAAGCUAAAUACCGGCCAGAGACCGAUAGCGCACAAGUAGAGUGAUCGAAAGAUGAAAAGCACUUUGAAAAGAGGGUUAAAUAGUACGUAAAUUGUUGAAAGGGAAGCGCUUGUGACCAGACUUGAGCCCGGUUAAUCAUCCAGCCUUCUGGCUGGUGCACUUGGCCGGCUCAGGCCAGCAUCAGUUCGGCGUGGGGGAUAAAGACUUCGGGAAUGUGGCUCCUUCGGGAGUGUUAUAGCCCGUUGUGUAAUACCCUGUACUGGACUGAGGUUCGCGCAUCUGCAAGGAUGCUGGCGUAAUGGUCAUCAGCGACCCGUCUUGAAACACGGACCAAGGAGUCGUCCUCGUAUGCGAGUGUUCGGGUGUCAAACCCCUACGCGUAAUGAAAGUGAACGCAGGUGAGAGCUUCGGCGCAUCAU